rnacentral:lncRNA from 10 species
CUUUCCUGCUGGCAUAGAAAUGGUGGUAGGGACACUUCCUGGGUCAUGACAGGAUCCCCUAACUUCAAGAGCUUAUUUGGAGAAAGCUAAAAUGUCAAGACAAACGAAACAUCCACUCUUUUUCCUGCUCUCUUUGAUUCUGCUGCAUCAGAAGUGAACCUCACUUCUCCAGGGCUCUAUUUUUGCCUAGGGCUGGUUACUUGUAUGAGGAUCCCAGGGCUUCAUUGAUUGAGUGUAGCAAAAUGUGGCAAGCUAGGAACCAUUCAUUUUGGCAGUCAGCAAUUAUAGGGCAGAAACUAGCAUGAGCACAGAGGACCUCCUCUAUCAGACACCCUGCAAGCCUCCAAAGACUGACCCAGGUGCUUCCUCUUCACGUUUCUCAAGACAGAACAUAAGCAAGCUAGAUCUGGCAUGGUCAACCGGUAUCACGAUGGUCCCAGCAGCACUCCAUUCUCAGGCAUUUAUUCUCAGGGCCCAGUCAAUGUCAUAAGUGGUAUGAUCUGAUCUAAGUCAUCACGUCUGGGCUACAGGACGCUAAGAAAUUAUGCUGAUUAUCAUAUGGGGAAAAUAAAUGAGAGUCUCCAACUUGCAAAAAAUUGGUUUGUAUUGUUCCCAGAAACAAGCUGAAAUGUCCACAGAAGCCAGAAGGAUAAGACAAAUGUGUGAAUUCGGUAGAUCUAAGAAAAUAAGACUUAGUAUGGAUUGUGGGGAAAUGAGAGUAAAUCUCACCAAAAGGUAUUCAGAUUAGAGAAAAAACUGUGCUAGAAGUUCCUACAAAAUAAAGUCUGCUGACCUGCCAUCCUGCCACAUUCAUCUAUAUCCUUAAAAAAUAAAUUUGUUAUGUUUUUAGCUAGGAAUUUUAGUUAGAUUCUAGGUUAAGCUACAAAUGAAAAGACUUUAAAAUUCAGUGGCUCAAAUAUGACAGACAUUUAUUUUUAUAACAGACUAGAAGUAGGUGGACAGUCCAGGGCUGUAGGCAGCUCUGCUCCAUGAGUACUCUCAGGUAUCAAAGGUACAGCUCAACCAUC